rnacentral:rRNA from 1 species
AAACAUGUCUCUUUGUAAUUUAUAGAUAGAGAGUCGGGCCUGCUCGGUGAAUAAUUAGUUUUAACAGCUGCGGUAUUUUAACUGUACUAAGGUAGCAUAAUAAUUUGCCUUAUAAUUUGAGGCUAGAAUGAAUGGUUUGACGAAGGUUAAUCUGUCUCUGUCCUAUUUUUUAGAAAUUAAUUUUUAAAGUGAAAAAGCUUGUAUUUUUUAAAGGGACGAGAAGACCCUAUUGAGCUUAUAAUUUUAUUACUAUUUGUUUUAUGUACGGGGUGGUAUAUAAAUUUUAAUUGGGGUGAUUAAGGAAUAAAUUAAUAUAGUAACUUCCUUAGAUUUAAUAUUGUUGAAUGAAGUAACCAAUAUUAUUGCUUAUAGUAUAGUUACCAUAGGGAUAACAGCGUAAUUUAUUUAGAGAGUUCUUAUUGAAAAAUGAGAUUGCGACCUCGAUGUUGGAUUAAAGUAACCUUAAGGUGCAGAAGCUUUAGGAGGUAAAUCUGUUCGAUUUUUAAAACUUUACAUGAUCUGAG